rnacentral:rRNA from 1 species
AACGAACGCUGGCGGCAUGCCUAACACAUGCAAGUCGAACGAGACCUUCGGGUCUAGUGGCGCACGGGUGCGUAACGCGUGGGAACCUGCCCUUAGGUUCGGAAUAACUCCCCGAAAGGGGUGCUAAUACCGGAUAAUGUCUUCGGACCAAAGAUUUAUCGCCUUUGGAUGGGCCCGCGUUGGAUUAGCUAGUUGGUAGGGUAAAAGCCUACCAAGGCGACGAUCCAUAGCUGGUCUCAGAGGAUGAUCAGCCACACUGGGACUGAGACACGGCCCAGACUCCUACGGGAGGCAGCAGUGGGGAAUAUUGGACAAUGGGCGAAAGCCUGAUCCAGCAAUGCCGCGUGAGUGAUGAAGGCCUUAGGGUUGUAAAGCUCUUUUACCCGGGAUGAUAAUGACAGUACCGGGAGAAUAAGCUCCGGCUAACUCCGUG